AGUGAACGCUGGCGGUAGGCCUAACACAUGCAAGUCGAACGGCAGCACAGUAAGAGCUUGCUCUUACGGGUGGCGAGUGGCGGACGGGUGAGGAAUACAUCGGAAUCUACUUUUUCGUGGGGGAUAACGUAGGGAAACUUACGCUAAUACCGCAUACGACCUACGGGUGAAAGCAGGGGAUCUUCGGACCUUGCGCGAUUGAAUGAGCCGGUGUUGGGUUAGGUAGUUGGGGGGGUAAAGGCCCACCAUGGCGACGAUCCGUAGCUGGUCUGAGAGGAGGAGCAGCCACACGGGAACGGAGAGACGCUCUGGACUCGUGCGGGGGGCAGCAGUGGUGAAGAUGGGAGAAGGGGCGAAAGCUGGAUCCAGCCAUGCCGCGUGAGUGAGGAAGGCCUUCGGCUUGAAAAGCCCUUUUGUGGGGAAAAAAAAUCAGCAGGUUAAUACCCCGUUGUUCUGACGGAACCCAAAGAAUAAGCACCGGCGAACGGCG
rnacentral:rRNA from 1 species